rnacentral:rRNA from 1 species
CCCUUAGAUGUUCUGGGCCGCACGCGCGCUACACUGACGAAUGCAACGAGCUUAUAACCUUGGCCGAAAGGUCUGGGUAAUCUCCAAAUUUCGUCGUGAUGGGGAUAGAUUAUUGCAAUUAUUAAUCUUCAACGAGGAAUGCCUAGUAAGCGCAAGUCAUCAGCUUGCGUUGAUUACGUCCCUGCCCUUUGUACACACCGCCCGUCGCUCCUACCGAUUGAAUGGUCCGGUGAAGCGUUCGGACCGUGGCCUUUGGACGGUUCGCCGUCUGUUGGCUGCGGGAAAGUUCGUUAAACCUUAUCAUUUAGAGGAAGGAGAAGUCGUAACA